AUUGAACGCUGGCGGUAGGCUUAACACAUGCAAGUCGAGCGGGGUGAUGGUGCUUGCACUAUCACUUAGCGGCGGACGGGUGAGUAAUGCUUAGGAAUCUGCCUAUUAGUGGGGGACAACAUCUCGAAAGGGAUGCUAAUACCGCAUACGUCCUACGGGAGAAAGCAGGGGAUCACUUGUGACCUUGCGCUAAUAGAUGAGCCUAAGUCGGAUUAGCUAGUUGGUGGGGUAAAGGCCUACCAAGGCGACGAUCUGUAGCGGGUCUGAGAGGAUGAUCCGCCACACUGGGACUGAGACACGGCCCAGACUCCUACGGGAGGCAGCAGUGGGGAAUAUUGGACAAUGGGGGGAACCCUGAUCCAGCCAUGCCGCGUGUGUGAAGAAGGCCUUAUGGUUGUAAAGCACUUUAAGCGAGGAGGAGGCUCUUUUGGUUAAUACCCAAGAUGAGUGGACGUUACUCGCAGAAUAAGCACCGGCUAACUCUGUGCCAGCAGCCGCAGUAACAC
rnacentral:rRNA from 1 species